rnacentral:rRNA from 1 species
UGGGUAACCUGCCCUAUACACACGGAUAACGUACCGAAAGGUACGCUAAUACGAGAUAACAUAUUUUUAUCGCAUGGUAGAAAUAUCAAAGCUCCGGCGGUAUAGGAUGGACCCGCGUCUGAUUAGCUAGUUGGUAAGAUAAUGGCUUACCAAGGCGACGAUCAGUAGCCGACCUGAGAGGGUGAUCGGCCACAUUGGAACUGAGACACGGUCCAAACUCCUACGGGAGGCAG